UUUACUCACAAAAUAUCUAGACGCUAUUGACCAGAUGGUAAAUAAUCUUGUUACACCUAUUGCGGCGGAUAUGAAGCACAUUGACCGGAAGCUAAAAUAUUGUCGGGAUCCAGGAUCACAUGAAAAGAGUAAGAAACGAAAGCAUAGGUCAAAAGACUGACUGACUAUCGGGACGGAGCUUCAAAUUUUGGGUGCAGAGAAGGGUUAUCGAUUUAUUUU